AACGAACGUUAGCGGUGUGGAUUAGGCAUGCAAGUCGCGCGCGAAAGUCCGCAAGGAUGAGUAAAGCGGCGAAAGGGUGAGUAAUACGUAGUCAACCUACCCCUGAGAUCGGAAUAACCACUGGAAACGGUAGGGCUAAUGCUGGAGUGACUUUGGUUAGGGAGGCAUCUCCUGGCAAGGAAACGGGUAGGCGCAAGCUGCUGUUCAGGGACGGGGACGUACGGGCGUAUCAGCUAGUUGGNGAGGUAACGGCUCACCAAGGCGAUGACGGCUAGCCGAUCUGAGAGGACGACCGGCCACACUGGGACUGAGACACUGCCCAGACUCCUACGGGAGGCUGCAGUCGAGAAUCUUCCGCAAUGGGCGCAAGCCUGACGGAGCGACACCGCGUACAGGAUGAA
rnacentral:rRNA from 1 species